CGAUGAAUGAGAGCAAGAAGAAAAAGUAGUGGGAUAUUCUAGCCAAAACAAGAGUUUAUGCGAUCUCAAUUCCUAAAAUUAUAUAUUUCUAUAUUAUUGUUAAUCAUUACUACAAUCUUGAGUUUUCUGAAUUCUAGAACGGUGACCCGACCAACCAAUUAUAACCCUAGUUUACACACAUGUUGGAUACAUGAAUUCAAUUUACUAGGUUUAUAGCUAACGAAUAGUUGAGGGAAAUAGGACGGUAGAAAAGCGUGACGUUAUAUACUAAACGAAUUUUUUAACAACCGUCAAUAAAUCGUUAAAAAAUUGGAAUUAUCCGUCUCUUCAAUUAUUCCGCUCCGUUGGCCGGACAGACCACAAAUUAAAAAAUUCGUUUAUGGUCAUUACGAACGAUGCUAGGACGAACACCAAUCAAGACGAGAAGUUCCGCAUCCCGAGAGGGUCGCUCCCCAACCGGAUCCGCAAAGAAGGCCGCUGGCGAUCAGAGGAGCUGUAAGUGCUGCAAUGAGAAUGACGACUCUCGGAUGGUCCAAUGUGAUCGAUGUGACAAUUGGUAUCAUUUUCAAUGUGUGGACGUGGGCCAGGAUGUCGCGGACCGCGAUUGGAUUUGCUCUGAUUGCCAGUUUGCUGCUAAAGGAGCCAAACCAAAAAUUACAUCCCAUGUUGCCUUUACGGAAAACGACGUGAGUACGUCAUCUCUUCCGUGUCCCGCCAUUAGGGUGACAUCGGUGCCUUUGAAUCUCGUUCCCCAAAUGCCAAGUAAUAUACCCACUUCGCCAAGCGCUACCACAAGUACAAAUGUGAACGAGCUGUUAAUGCACGUUAACACCAAUACGAUGUUUCCACCACUAUCUCCAAAUUUAUUAAAUCCAUCAAGAAUCUCUACGGUAAUUCCCGGUGGCCCGUCAUCCAACACGCAUUUAGCGCCAAGCACUUGCAACGUUGUUGCUUCCAA